rnacentral:lncRNA from 1 species
AUGGAGAACUGCAACACCUCCAGUCCUUCACCUAAAGCCUCCAUCAGCUUCCAGCUGCACUCUACACAGCCUGCGCAACAUCCAGAAGCAUCAUCUCGAACCACUGCGACUCCAGACGAGCUGGGCCAGCAUGUGUGUGCAGCUCUGAGUCACAGCAUGGCCAGUAAGCAUGUGAAGCACUUCCAUUCUUCUUCUCCCUCCACUUCAGUGCCAGUGUCUGGCCAAGGGACUCCUUGCAGAGGGUGCCGGCGCCCUUAUGGUUCCUCUAGGUCGUCCGAGCCUGGCCACAUGUCCGUGGUCACCUUUAGCUACAUAGAGAAAGCAAAUGUCAAGAAAGUGGAGAGCCCGCACAACACACCAAGACAGGAGGCCGCUCAGCCUCAAAAAAGGUUCAGUGACUUGGCCUGGUCUCCAGGCACCUGCAGCAAUAAUAGUCCAAAUCACCAGCAGGCUGGCUCACCAGCUCUGAACCGGGCCACCGUAGACUCCGUGGGCAGAGCAGCUACGCGACGAGCCCUGGAGGACUUUGGGUCGCCCCAGCUGAGAUCUAAAUUUGCCCGAGGUUCAGACUGGAGCCCUGUGGGCCGACACAACCAGCAAACACGAUGUCAGUCAUGGUCAGGUACACCUGUACCCGGCCUUGGCACCCAUGCAAGCAACCAUAAUGCAGAUAAUGCAGAGGCUUCAUGUGGCCUGGCCAAGAGCCCAGCCACAAACCGCCUUUCAUUCAAUAUGGACCACUCCAACCUUCCCUUAGACUUGGACUUGACCCAACACUCAAGCCCAAGACUUAAAAAAGGCUCAAACCAGCACCAGCUAACCCAGCAUGGCCCAUCUAGCCCCAGCCAGAAGAAUAGCAGUCUUCUCUCAGGUCAAAAAGGCAGUUUGGUCUUUACAAACACACACGCCGAAGGUCUAAACCAGCUCAGUGGCAGCAAUACGUCGUCAGCAAUGAACAGUCCAGAGGUAGCUCGCAGGCUCGCAGAGGAAGCCACCAGAGUGUCGGUUAUUUUCGACGAGGUCAGGAAAUCUCCUUCCCAUGGACAGCCAUCAUAUCACUCAUCUCAUCAUCAGAGCCCAGUCAUUAAAAUGAACAUCCCGGUGAAUGGACCACAUUCCGAAAUCCCAAUAACAAACGGGGCGUCUCCUUGUGCACAAGAGUACUCAAGCAGUCAGAGCUCAGAAGCAAGAUGCGAACUGCCACAGCAGAACACCAAUCAUCUCCACAGUUCAAUCCCAUUAGGAGGAACCCCCGACUGCCCAGACUCCCCAGGCAUCCCAUCAAGACUAAUGCGUCCGUGGCUUUCCAAAGCAGAUGAGAGCUCCCCCUUACGAGACCCUCGCUUGCAUCGAGGCGAUGUCUCCAUAAGCACAGAAAGUCCCACACUGCACCGACGGAGACCACCACAGUACACUGGUUGGCCCUGCGAGGAACCCUGGGAGUCGUUCCCAGACAGGUGUGGCGAGGCCAGAGUUGACCAUACCUCGUCAGACAGCGUGGAGAUCUCCAGAAGGCUGCUUAUUGGUCAGCGGAUCGAGGAGGCACCGAUCAGUUGGACGUCUAUGCAGAUGUGGAGGGAGCAGAACGAGAAAGAAACGGACAUGAUUAGACCAAGAGAGAAGAAAAGAGAGAGCGAGAGAAGAGCGAGAGAUCAGCUAGGUGAGGUGGAGAAUGUGGUGGUUAGAGGAGAGGAUGAUGUUGCACAGAGUGUGGUGUGUAGGGAGGAGAGGAUGGAGGACAGGGCCGUGUUGAACCAGCAGCAGAGGCAGGCAGAGUGGAGGCGUCGGCAGGCUCUGCUCCUGGGGCCUGUGGUCCUGGAGGGGGAGAACGAGGAGAGGGCUGAAGGAGAGCAGAAUGGAGUACCAGGGUCUUCUCCAAGCUCCAGUGGGGUCACUGGGAGUCUUGGGGACAGAGAAUGUAUAUCUCCAGAGUCCAGCAGCAACAGCAAUCAGACAGAACAUGCCAGCUCAGGGAUACAGGUAAGACAUUACCUGCUUUGA